CAGGAGGUAGGGCGCGGUGAUAGAGGAGGGGGGGUUCUUCUGUGGGACUAACUUCCUCAAUAUGUCUGAUGCUUUGGGUAAGGGGAGCAGUGUAGAGGCAGGGCUUUCUACGCCAGCUGGGACUCCGGACUGGAUUCUCUGGCAGUCAGUUGCUUGGAGGCAAAGGGGAGUAACAUCAGAUUUCAGUUUAGGAAGAUCCCUGUGGCAGUAGUUUAGAAGGCGAACUCGAAAGAUUGUUAGCAGGUGGGUUCAAGAUAGCUGAUAUUUUCUAAACCUGUUGGUCUUGCAAUCUCAGGUCCCAGAUGUGGUGACAAUGAGCAAGAGUAGACAGCCAGGGUGGCACUACCAGCACAAUACUGCCAGCAACAAAAGCACGAGAUUUAGACGCAGAAACCGCUGGUUCCCACCCUGGUUUUGUCAGAGCUACAAAUUUUCCUGGAGCAUUACCAUUUCAUCUCCUUUGACUUAUGCCUGUGUAAUGAGAGUGUUUGUAUGUCACCAAUUUCAUGUAUAUGUUAAUUAACACCAAUGGAGUACUUCCAACGACACAUCAGGACUUGGGAAUGAAGACAAAUGUGAAGAUGUCUUAGCUGGUCCCAGAAUCUUAUCCAGGGGUUCGGGGUUCAGUUGACUGCCUAAGUUACGUAGCUGGGUGGAUAUGGAGAUUUUAGAAUCCAAUUUUGAGCUGCUUCUGUCAUAAUAGUUAUUCAAAUUAGUCCACGUUUUAUUGUCUCCCUGAAAAGCAGAGCGCCCAAAAGAUUUACACGGAGAUUUCAAGCUUAACAUUGCAUUGUACCCAGGGCUCUCUUUGGAAGUCUGAUGCGAAACAAAACAAAAUGUCCCUAGUACUGUAUGGAUGGCUUGUUUAUUCUGCUCUCUGCAAGUGCAGAACCCUGACUUCCUGCCAGGGAGAGAACAGGGUGUGAGCAAUCCGGGAAAGUAAACGGAGCGGAUCUUCAUGCUUUGUUUUUAGCAUGCUGGACAGGACCACCCCAGGAUCUGAACUUCCUGUGUCGAAUGUAGGAAACCCAGGAAAAUGCAUGGCAGUCCUUCCCUCCUGAUUCUGUCCCUGUAGAUUUUGUGUCGGAACCACCAUGAUUUUUUUUUUUUUUUGAGGAAGAUUAGCCCUGAGCUAACAUCUGCUGCCAAUCCUCCUCUUUUUGCUGAGGAAGACUGGCCCUGAGCUAACAUUCAUGCCCAUCUUGCUCUACUUUAUACGUGGGACGCCUACCACAGCAUGGCUUUUGCCAACGGUGCCAUGUCUGCACCCGGGGUCCAAACCGGUGAACCCUGGGCCGCCGAGAAGCGGAAGGUGCACACUUAACUGCUGCGCCACCGGGCCAGCCCCAACCACCAUGAUCUUCUGAGGGACACUGUAGCAUUUAUUAAGAGAGAACAGAUCACCAAAGAUGAUCCCUUUCACUGUUGACCAGUCACAUGCCCAGGAAGUCUGUAAUCUUAUCAACAACAAAAAAUCAGUCUUCUAAAAUGAUACAACGAAGAGAAAUAAAGAAAUGCCUGAGUAGAAGCUGGCAGGGAAAAUUCUGAUGCUGAUGAAAUGAUGGCAAUGGAAGUUUGUUUACAAUUUCUCUAGGAGGCAGAAGAAGCUGUUUUAUACAGUAGCUUGGUUUCUAGAAAGUUGACUGUAAAUGUAAAUGGAUGUUUACUUUAACUACACUUUCGGAGUUGGCCACUUAAAGGAUUCUUUUGGAGAACAUCCUUGUGAUCGUUCUUUAUGCUUCAUAGCUUUGUAUGUUUUAUACCCUCUGUCCACCCCAUUUUUUUUAAAGCAACAAUCAUUUGUAAUUUUCUUACAAGCUAAAUAAAUUGGUCUUUGCCUUCUGAAACAAUAUUUGAUUAUUCUUGUUAUUUUCUUAGAAGGAAAAGCAAGAUUUUUUUGCUUGUUUGUAUUUAAACUCCUCUGCUUUAUUAUUUCUCUUCAUUUUUUUUUUCAUUUCCUAGACUGACCAAAUGAUGAGAUGCCUAGGAAUUUAUUGACUUUUUGUUAUCGAUGCAUAACCCUGAGAGAAUGAGGGAAACCCCAAGCACCCCGCCACCUGCCUGUGGAAAUAUUCAUCCAUCCUCUGGCGCCGUAACACAGAUCCUGAAAGACCAUCGUAACACAUUCUCUAUCUUAGGUUAGCUGCUGUGUGCUUGAAAAUACAAACACCCUGGAGAAUUAUUGCAUUCAAUGGUCUAUUACAGCACUAUACUUUAAUGGAAAAUUGAUUAUUUUUCUCCGGUAGUGAGACAAAUGGGAGUUUUCAUGGGCAUGUAGGAAAGAAGGGGCCAUCUUAGAAUCUGAGGCACCAUCCCAGGGGGACAAGCUUACCCGAAGGACGAAGUUCUGGGCUGCCAAGAAGUUGUAAAAGGGAUGCUGGAUGCCUGGGAAGUAUGUUGGAGAAGCUGCUCAUUAUGGAAGAAAAGGAAAAUGGGAAGCAGAGAUAAAGUAAGUGUGGCUUCCUGCACAAUUUAGUUUUGGGAGGACUGGAUUUUCUCAGCAUACUCAAUUUCAGAGAGACCUGAAAUGAGACCUCUUCCUUCCAAUGUGUAUUGAUCAUUCAUACGGACCUGGUGUUUUGCUAAGUGCUAAUCAUACAAAGCUGAACAAGAUAUUCUUGUCCUCAGUGAGUUUACAUUCUAAAAGGAAAGAUAGGCCAAAAGAAGAAAAAAGAGAAAUAUAUUUUCAAGUUGUGAUAUGUACAAUGAAGAAAACAUACAUUUUUUAUAUUUUUUGUUUUCUGCUCUACAAUUUGACUACCCUGCAAAAUCCGUGGUAAAACAGAGAUAAGCUGGUAAUGGCCGCAGUCUUUGUAAUCUAUAUAAUCAAUUACUUUUGACUGAGGUCCUGAGUAAGUUAGAUCCUAUGUAAGAAAUCCUAUGUAGGAUUUCUAGGGAUAAUCUUAUGACACUCCCAGAACUCUGGAAUUCUGUAGACUCAGUAUUCUAAACACUGAGGGGCUCCUCAGAGCCAAUUCUAAUAAUUGAGUAGGUCAGGUUGACCGCUACCUGUGAGGUUUAAGACCUACUUGCUGUGUGCUCCCUCCACCCCCAACACAAUGCCCAUCCCUUGGCUACAUUUCCAGAAAUUCCAGGGUUAAGAAUUCUAAUAGACUGGCCUCAGGAGAAGAAAACAGAAAAAGGUGAUUAGUCGUGGAGCUGCUGGUGAGAGAGAGGACUAAGGAAUACACCCAGAGCCCCAGAAUGAAGCUAACAAGAAAACUGACUGAAAUGCUCCAAGUAGGAGAGUGAGUCAUAGCAGCUCUGGAUCAGUAACCCAGGUAGCGGGAAGAGGCAAAGUGGAGAAGAGGAUUCAUUCUAAACUUAAGGGUAGCAUGUGGGGAGCCACUUGAGGUCCUUGCUUGCUCUGCUGUUAAAGGGGGACUGUAAAUAUGUCCUAUGAGAGGCUGCAUGCAUGCUUGUAAACAUUCUUUUCUGUAAGUGAUUACGACAACCAUAAGAAAUAGGAAGUCAGUAGGUGACUUAUGUUAUUUGUACAUUACAAGGAUAAUUGUACUAUAGUUAAUACAACACUGAAGAACAAUGUAAAAUAUAUUUUUGCUUGUUCUCACAUCUGUGCUAGUGAAAGAGGUAAUAUGAGGAAAAUGAACGAGAGCAAUUGAGUAAAACUACUGUCUUCUUGGGCCUUUGAGUGGGCACACGUUUCUUUGUCUGCCCAGCAUCCUUUUGGGGGAACACAUCUUCCACCCUCAUUCUAAAGUACUCCCAAUCAGCUGGUUUGGCCCAAGGAGGGGUAUGUGAUCCAGGCUCAGUCAAUCAGAGGAUUUUAUCUUCUUAGUCACAGUGAUUAGUUGAUGAAAGAGUAUGUGAUAGAAGUUGGACCAGUCAGAAGUCUCUCUGGAUAUUUUAUCAGCUAUCCAGAAAAAUACCCUUUCUCUAGGAUCAUAGGCUCUAAGAACUCUGGAGGUUGGGGGCAGCCAGAGUCCAUCUUCCUGCCACGUGGAGUCAACUUGAAGAUGAAGCCAAGCAGAGGCACGCAGUGUGUAGAGAGUGGGGAAGAGAGGCCCUAACUGAUACUGUAUCCAUUCUAAGGGAUCCUUGUGUGGAUGUGCCUGAGUAGCAGGGCAGGUUUCUACCAGCCUCUGAGAAUGGGGCAGUCAGGGCUGUGACUCACCCUGGAACCAGCUGUCCUUGUCAAGAGGGGCCAAGCUCUCCCGGGAAACUUACAGUGGAAGGAGACUGACGACAGCAAAUAGCCAGCUGGGCCUACUUGUAGGUACUGGCCUUUGGGUGACUUCAAGAUUAGUUUAUAGCUGCCCGCUCUCCCCAGAGCCUUCCUGUGUCCCCCACUGCCUCAGGUCAACCUGAGUUACCCAAUUCAUCUGGUGAAAAGAGUGAAGAAGAAGUAGGAAGACUGAGAUAGCGUCCAAGUCCAACAGAAUUCGUUUUCUUGUCUUUCUCACGCAUCUGAUCUUAAGAAGCUUGAAGGCAGGGCCCGUGUCUCCCGCUAUAGGACCUUCAGCCCCAGAACUCGGUGCCACAUGUCCUGAUGCUGGCGCUGGUUUGGGGCCACCAGGAGAAGAGCGGAAGUCUCGUGCCCAACCCCCCGCCCUCCAAUCACUGAGACAACACCAGCAGCCACUUACCUGGAGAUGCGCUGUUAGAGGAGAGAAAAUGAAAGCCACGCUCUGUGCCGUCGGUUUCUGUUCCAGCUGAUGGAAAUCCCUGACUGAUGAAUGAAAACUAGAGGAAAAGCUCCAAGAGAACAGAACCGGGAGAGACGCUUUCCCCCCUCUCGAGGAGCACGGGGCGAUGCGUCUGGCCUGGGUUCGAGGUGCAAACCUGUUAUCUCGUUCUGUGCCCCUGAGCCAGUCACUCUGCCCCCCAAGGCCCACUGUCAAGGCAGGACCACCGCGCUCUGACUCCCCCAUGCCCACAACUGUCGUGAUGUCCUCCUGCUGUGCCGUGGGCCCCAGGACCCAGCUCAAAGUCUGAUGACACGCGGCCAAUCCCUCUGCAGCGAGGCCUUUGGAAAUCGCAGUGUCCCCGGGAAGAGCCUCAGACACCUGCUGUGUCAUUUCCAAGACCGUCUUCUCCAGGUAAGUAAGCACAGCAGAAAGGAGGCCCGCCCCAUAGCACGGAGGGAUUUUCGGCCAGAUUUUUAUUUUUUCUGCAGAUAGCUUUUGACGUUUACUUUAAUUCUCUUUAUUGUGAACUGAAACAACCAUAUAGAAAAGUAUAUGAAACAUAAGGUACAGCUUAAUUUUUCUCUCGUAUAAAGUAAACGCCUUCUCAGUUCAGGAGAUCACCAGCUGCGCGCCCCCCGGAACCCUCGCGCGCAUCCCUUCUGGGCUGCGGUUCCCCUUUUCAAAGGUGAUCGCUGGGCCUCCUUUUAUGCUCAUUCACUUCUUUGCUUUUCUUUAAAAUUUUACUACUUAAAUAUACAUCCAUGGACACUGUUGUUUGAUUUUUCCCUGUUGUUGAAAUUUUUCAGAAGUGCAUCCAUCCAGUGUGUGUUCUUUACGUCUGGCUUUCGUUCUUUAUGUUGGUUUUGACCAGCGUGAUGUUUGCGAGACGCGGUCACAUUGCACACGGCUGUCGUUAAUUCAGCGUAUAGCGUCGUACUGUGUGAAUAAUCAACCGGUUUUUACAAAUUCACUUGAUUGUGGACAUUUGCUUGUUACCAGUGAGGGGAUCCUAUGAAGACAUCUGCGUUCUCCUCGAUGCCUCCGUGUACCCACAUUUAAGCAGAGUAGAUAUGUUGGGUUAGAACUGCCGGGGCGUGGGGUACGUUCCUUCGACUUGACUAGAUGAUGCCCAAGUGAUUCCACUGAUUUAUGCUCCCACAGCUGUGGUGAGUGGUCUCUGUGCUCCACAUUCUCACCGGCAUCCAGUGAUGCCAAUCUUUGCAAAUGUAGCUUUUCUGUUGGCGUGCUUUGUGUGUGUGUGUGUCUGAAUCUGAAAUAGUGGGUGGCCUUCUUAAGACAAAUCACUUGGUCUUUAGAAGUGGGCGACUGACUAAGAGGCUGUUUUGAGGCCCCUUCUGGGGGCUGCACCCUGGAGAGAGAAUGAGCUCAGGAGUCAGGUUUUGGGGUUCAAUCCUGGGUAUACUACCUACUAGCCGUGUGACCCCAGGCAAGUUAGUUAACCUCCCCCACCUCAAUUUCCUCAUCAGUAAAAUGGGAUAAUAGUCUCUACAUCCUGGGUGUGUGUGAGGAUUAAAUGAGAUACUACGUGAAAAGGGCCUGCCUGGAAUACGCACGUGGUGCAUGUUAGCCAUUAUUAUCCUUGAGAAGAAUUCUCCCCUCCGAGGGCUGUGAGACUCACCCAGGAGAAUGGCAAAAACAUCAUGCCUUUUGCGUUUCCGAGGUGCUUUACUUGUUGUAGACUCUGCAGGCUAGUCCUAAUGUUAGCACUGCCCCUCAGCAGCGUGAGGGAAAGCAGGUGGUUUGUGUCCUUGACUGAAAAUUACCUAAAGUGCUCAACUCCUCCGAUCCUUUGAACUGAACGUCUCCGAGGUCACAGACAUUACAAGUGGAGAGCCAGAGGCACAGCAGGGGCCCUUUCUAGACUGUUCAACAGCAGUUUUGAGUCAGCCCUCUCCUACUUGUUGGUGUAGUGGGGUACUUACACACUUUGCUCAGGUCGGGGGUGUAUGCAUGGCCUCAAGGAGAGGUGGGUGGUUCGGGCUGCUGUGUAUGGAGGGGAGAAGCGUGCAGUUUAUGUUGAGUUUACUAAGGAACCAGAGUGAAAGCCCAGUGGAGCGCACGCCUCUAACAUGCUGGAGAGCAGCUCGAGAGCGAGAAACCUCUGGAGCGCACUGGAUGGGGUGAAAGCCUGGGGAGGAGGGGAGAGACGCGAUCCUGGGAAAGUUGAGGGGCUGGGGUGGGGGAACCUAAGGAGAUCGUUGGUGUGAGUCAGAAUGGUCUGCAUGCCCAGGGGCAGCCAGCCAGCCAGCCUGCCACGGUCCCAAGCCAUGCCUGUUGAUACCCGUGCAGAGAAGUAGCUUUGGCUGUUCUGGCCUCAAGGCAUCCUCUGGAGGGCACUACCACCUCGAAAGCCCUUCUAGAAACAGAGAGGGAAGUGGUGCUAUGGAGGGACAGUCAGAGGUCCAGGACCUGGGUGGAGCUGCAUAGAGCAGAGGCUGCCCUUGCUACACUGAAAUGGAAAGAUGUUUGCCGUGCACUAUAAACCGGUGCAAUUAUACAAUGACAGGUGCACGAUUGCACCUGUAGCAUGAUGCCAUCUAACAACAGAUGUCUGUCUAAAAGGGUCCGGGAGGUAUCUCAGUGGCAUUAAAAGGAAUUCUCUCUGGGUAGAAUUACUGGUUCUUUUUAUCUCCCUCUAUUUCUGUAUUUAUUAUGUAUCUGCAGAUUUUUCUGGUUAAAUGAGUUUUUGUAUUACUUUUGUAAUUAGACUAAAAGGAGCAGGAACAUUACCAGGAUGUCUCGUUUAAACUAACUCGUUGCGGGUGGGGAGGGAGGUGAAUUCAUGGAUUCUUGUUAAAGUCAGCAUUCAUGAUUAAGCUCCACUCAUAUUAUACGUGUAGUAAGUGUCAUCUACUUACAUGCCUGUAAUGUGUUCCCGUCCACACGUUGGUCACUGACUAGCUGAUAAGAUGUGAGGUUCACUCCCGUUUGGGGGCAAGGCCAAAAGAUCCCCCUGACCCCUCGCUCAAAGGUUCUGGCUAAGGUUAUUUCCAUGGCAAUGAGGGAAAAAAAUAAGCCAGAAGAUGUGUAUCUGGACUGGGGAAAGGCGAGGUGCAUCUUUCUUCUGUCUGAUUUUCCUUGGUGUCUGGCAGUGACGUUGUUCGUUUGGCGCUGGUCACGGUUGCCUCCUGCCCCUGACGGGGGUUGCCGAUGUCAAGGACUUGAGAGAAUAAAUCCCUAAUCUUCUUAAGUACCCAAAGGAGGGAGGAGUCCAGGGCUGGUAUGGUGGCCCCAACAGGUCAUCAGUGCACAGGCCCCUCCUGUUCCUGCCCCAUGCCCCUCGGUGGGUGGCUCCUGGCACUGAGCUCGCAGGACCACGAUGGGAUCUUCAGCCACUGUGUCCUCAUUUCAGCUGCAACUGGACAGGGGAAAGGGGCCUUCCAAGAGGCCUCACCGAGGUUGCCCUCGUAUUUGGUAACACCCAACCUGCACAAGAGGCUUGGAAUGCAGUUGAUUUUAUUUAUUUAUACAUAUAUAUAAAAUCUGCCCCAUUGCGCAAGACUUCUGUUACAAAAGGAGAAAGAACAGACCCUGGGCAGGCAACAAGCAGUAUCAGUUUAAAGCCUUGCUUUUUUCAGCAAAGUCUGUCAUUUAUAAGUGCUCCAGAGAUUUCAGGAUCAAGGCAGAUUUAUGGAAAAAAUCAGAAAGCCAAAGGUGCCAUAAAGAGUCCCACGGGAACAGUCUACUCAACAAGAUGCUUUGUCAGCAGUUGGUCAGCCAGUGUCUCCUCCAGUCCCCUGAGGGCUCAGCGUGGCAGCCCCGCCACUCGGCUGGCACUGUCAGUGGCGCACAGUUGUCAGUGCAGGUGAUCCAUGGAAAGCGAGCACAAGAGCAGACAGUCCUUGUCCGUCAUCUCCAUAUUUCCCUCUGUCCUCCUACAGUGGGACGUUCUUCUGACAGUCACUGAAGUUGCUGACAUGGUUGGCAUUGCAGUUUCUAGAGGGAACCCUCCACCCUUCUAGUGGGGAGGAGCUCCUGGAGCAGUGAGACCCAGAGACCCCCAGUGGCCAGAGAUGGGCUUCUUGUAAGACCAAUGCUUGGAGUAAAAGGGUCGUGGAAUUCCCUUUUUAAACAUGUCCUUCUUAAAAUUCGGAAUAAAAUUUGUGCUAAUAUAUGUUAUCUGGGCCUGAAAUGAGUAUAAUCUCUCUUAAAACCAGAGUGGGUCAGCCUUUAACUAGAAAGAGUCUGCUGACCAGAAUUAAGUAAGGAGGGGACAGUCCACAGGGGAAAAGAUAAGGCUGCUCCAAAGACUGUCCCCGCUCUCAGAGAACGGUGGGGAGCUGCCCCUCGGGAACUUCCCGGGAAGAAACGUGUUCAAAAGGAAGGUGGUUUCACAGGAGGCCGGUUUUGAGGUGGGAGGAAGGUCGCUUCAGGAGGUUCCAUCAAAGGAAACGGAGCCUCUGACCCUCUGGCUGCCUCCCCUGCAGCGGUCUGAACUCUGAACAAGUGCAGACCUUAUCAGGGCUUUGAGAUCCAAGAGGUUGUGAAGCUUUGCUUAAUUCUCUAACUCUGGAAACCUUCUGCCUUGAAAUGGGACAUUUCCCUGGGUCAACUGCCCCUAACUCAGCUCGGAAAUGCCUUCUGGAGUCCCGCAGCAGGUCCCCGCCCUUCCCUCGGCCCUCUGCUGGAAUGUGCUGCCAGCAUCACUACAGUCGCUCCUCAGAGCUUUCUAGGGCUCUCGGCCAGUUCUUGGUACUUCUUUUUGGUCUACAACAGAGAGAAGCUGAUGAGCAAGUUAUAGACUUUUGUGACUUAUUACUGAGUACUAAGUAAAAUCAAUGCUCUAUUAUUACAGAAUGAGCAACGUGACUGUCAAAUAAGCAACUGAUAAAGACAGUCAACUGAACUUAAUGAUCAACUGAGAAAGAAAAGCCCAAUUUCUUGUACUUAAGAAAAUGCUUAUUGAGGCUGUACUACCUGAGAUAUCCUGCUCAUCCUUAGAGGGACACAGAGAAUGUGCUGAACGGUUUUUCUCUUUGCAGCGAGUUUAUAAUCCUCUCAUCCACGGGCAGGGGAAGUAAUUAUAAAAUAAGACGGAUCAAGAUAAAUCCCAUGAAGAGAGUACCAGACAGUGAUGGGGCUCAGAGGAAGGAGAGCCCAGAUUAUCAGGGGAGGGCUUGGGGAAGCAGCAAAUGCAGGUGGCCAGCAGGAAGCGUGAGUGUUCCAAUGGGUCGUGUUUGGGAUCCGGGAGUGGUCCAGGGUGUCCUGAGAUUAGAGCACAUACAGAAGGGCAGGAAGAAGCUGGAGAAGGCAGGCAGGAAUUUAUUCUUUCUUUUCCUCUUUAUUCUAAGUUUUGGUAUUAUUUGAAGUUCGUGGUUAAUAAACUGAAUUCGCUUACUGUCACUCUAACUCUAUGUACAUAUAUAUAUAUAUAUACACACAAGUAUGAAAGACCUAUAUAUAUCU
rnacentral:lncRNA from 1 species